AGUAGCUGGCGGGCCUUACGCCCGGCAAGUCUUCGUUCUUCGGUCAUCGGUCUUCGGUCCUUGGAACACCCCCGGUGAAUCCCCCUUGAAUUCCUGACGCCGACGCCUCGCGAUUACUCCAAUUCGUGUGCGUGCGAUAAGAAAGUCGAAGUCUCGAAACUCGAGGACCACAGCCAAAGUAUCUUAUUGGAGUCGCAGGCGAAAUCAUUCCUUAACGCGACGCGUGUCGGUGCGGUUGUGUUCAUAGAUCCCCAUUUCAAAAAUACAAAAAAUACUUAGAUUCGCUGGGCAUAUCCGUGGAUUAACAUUGUGACAUCGCGGUGAACUUGAACAACCUACGAUGAUUUAUUACAGAAAAUGACACUCGAAUUGAGAAAUAUUUUUCUGAUGGAUUGUGAGGCUUAGGAAACUCAAGAAGCAGAGCAUUUUCGAAUUCAUAAAAUAUCACUAUUAAGAAAAAAAAAAACCUCAAGGCGUUGGCGGAAAAGAAAAAUUUGUUCUUGACCUAGAAACAAAGGCAGGCACAGAACGAUGACGACAUCAGGCCGGAGAAAAUGAGGAGGAAAACCCAAGACGACGUCACCAAAAAGGCCAAGACACGAGCAAAGGAAAGCGAACCAAACAAAAAUUAAAAUUAAAACAAGGACACGAAAAAAAAGCGUCAUCGUCCUUGGCUAACGGAGAGUGUGAGAGAGAGGGCAAUAGCAACAGCCGGCAGCUGUGGGCCAGGCCAAAAAGAAAAGCGGGAAAAGCAGGCAGAACUGGGUUAAUAAGCAAAACGCAGACAGCGAUGAUGAUGAAAAACGAUGAUGAUGAGCAUGGCAACGAAGUGCAUAAUCAACAAGAGAGCAAAAUUGUGGGUGCGAACUUUACUCAUUUUCAUUUAGGUUCCCGAGGAGCACAAACUUUUCUCGUUCCCAGCAUGCCACUGUAUGUAUGUGUGUGUGUGUGUGCGUGUGGGUGAGUAUCUGUGUGUGCAAGGACGACUCCUUGCUGUUUUUAAUUUCAUUGCAAAAGGAAAUGAACGAAGGCAGGCAAAAUUGAGAGCCGGGAAAGAGAGAAAACCUCAAGGAGCGCGAAAAUGAAGCCAAAGACACUGCCAUCCGCAGUCUGAGCGCCAAGUUUUCCCGGCUUUCACCCCACCCCUCGCCGAUUUUCCACCCCCGCAGGCUAAAUUAGCUGCAGCAGCCGCGCGACAUUAAAAAGUUUGCCGGGUUCCUUCGCGCGACUCGCGCGAAAAAAAUAAAAAGAAAAAGCAAAGAAAAUUCGCUGUGAAAAGUGAAAUUAAAAGCCAGCCAAAAGGGAGGGAGAAAAGUUUUCUUUUGCAAUGCGAAAAAAUGAAGUGCAGGGAAAUUAGUGGCGUAAAUUUGAGCAAGGUCAAAGUCGAGACAUCCAUCGCCAUGACAAUGAACCAAACUGUCUUUUCCAGUUUUGAAAGUUCAUAAGUUUUUUAAACUUUUUUACUUUUUUUAACUCCCAAAACUCCCAUUAAUAGGGGACAAGUAUAACAAAUGCAGCAAUUCCAAAAAGUAACUUAAUUACUUUAUUAGCAAAACUUCAUUUGAUUCCAUUUUGCCAUCAAUUAACGGCCGAUAAUUCCACUUAUUGGGUUCGGCAACUUUGUAAGCGAGUCGCCAUUAAUUAUUCAAACCCGAUUCGUUGGCCAAACAACUUCCUUUAGAGAUAUCAUAAUUAAUUUAGCAAACAAGAAAAAAAUUGAACUGUAAAUUGAUUUGGCUCAUUAGGCGGCGUGAGCAAACAAAUGGCAGCACUUAAAUAAGCCGUUAGCAGAAAGAGAAGAGAAGUUGGCAAUAGAAGAAGUAGCCGACGGUUAUACGCUUAUGGAGAUACAAAUCUUAAGAUACCAAUCUAAAGAUACAAAUUAACAGGCGGCAGCAGAAAUUUUCAUAUAAUAAUAGGGUUUUAUAUCACUUCUAUAUUUGGCAAAAAACGAAGCGCUUUAUGAGAAUGCAUUAAAAAUAACCGGCCAUAAAGUAUGAAUCUAUUUUGGUUAAAACGCAACUACGGCGCACUUUAAUUGAAAUUACCAGACACACCAGCGGGCAGCCGUUGGUAAUUAAACUGGUUUUAAAUUAACAUUAAACAAAAAUUAAAUAAAUAAGAUAAGCAAACUACAGUUAGCGGUCGCGGCAGACAUGUUUGAGUGCCGCACAAAAUUAGCAGAGUGAGUGAGGAGAGACCGUGCAACAUGUUGCCUGGCAGAAUGCCGACGCUUAUAGAUAAAUUUCUGUCAAAAUUGCUGAUUGACUUCAUUAAUAACCACGCGCCUAGCCAGGAAAACCAGGCAGCCAGCCAGUCAGCUAGGUGCACUUGAAAUAAUUUUUAGUACCCUUAAAAACAAAUACUCAAAAUGAAGCAAGAAACUUAUAUCAAAGAAAUCACAUUUUCGAAAUUUGCAAGGGCAUUUAAUAUGAAAUUGGUGAACUUGUAAUACUUGCAACCUAUGUAGAUGUUUAUGUCACAAAAUUAUACAGAAUUUCAUGUUAUUUUUUCCCAGUGCAGCUUUCAAGCCCGGCUGACAGCUCAACAAGGCAGCUGCUGAAAUGCAAAGCAGAUGGCCGAGCCUGCCAGCCGAGGGGGUGUCAAUUGAGGGGGAUUUCCUCUGGCGGGUAAUUGAGUGGUUGGCAAAAGGAGGAGAUGGUGGUGGAUGAGGGGGAGGGUUCCAGUGCAAAUUAAUAGCAAACUUGUAGGACCUGAAUGCAGUGUUUCGGUGGCGCGAUUGAUAAGCUGCGUGCUGCGUGGCCAUGUUCGGUGUCCAAAUGCUGCCACAACAUGUUUUUCCUUCGCACUGCUGCAGCGGCAAACUGGUCGCGAAUGGGUCGAAAUCAGUGCGAAUAUUUAUGUUUGUCCAGCAGCAGCAGCAGCAGCGGGCUAAAAAACAAUUUUAAUGGGCGCACUGCGCACUGACCAUGAGGAAGCGAUUUGGCCAAUUUUGCAUCUGCAUCUGCCGGUUUUGGCGCCCCGUUUAAUUGCGCUGCAUAAACCGUUUGCUUUUAAUUGGCCAUCGAACGGAGGGUGGAGGAGGAGGAGGAGCAGGCACAGCAUGAAGGGGGGCCAAAUUAAAAAUGCCAGGCAGAUAACUCAAUAAAUGUACAGAUUAGUUACAGACGCAAUCAAUCAGCGUCAAAGGCGAGCCGCACUAAAUUGUCAGACUUGCUAAUAAUUGCAACAGCAACAACAGCAACAGCAAUAUCCGCAAGUGCAACCAAGAGCCAGCCUUUCGAUUCCACCAAAACGCAGACGUGGCACUCACUGACCAUCUGCACUGGGCAAAAAUUAAGGGGUUAGAGUUUUAAAUCUAUAAAUUUUCAUGAGCAAUUGUUUAGAGAUUCAUUGUGUACCCUGAACUUAAUAAUGCGUAGAUAUUGUGUUUUAAAACCAUUUUCUGUAAUUAUAUGAAUUUAUUUCGCCAGGUUUCUUUAUUGAUGAAAUAUAAGUUUAAUUACUAAAUUAGACCAUAUUUUCUCUCAGUGCCCAUAUAUGCCUGCACCAGUGUGUGCUCGUAAUUUGGUUGCCUUUCACAAAAGACACUUGACGUGGCCAAGAUGCAGACAGACACACAAGACACAUCGACGUCGGCGUUGACAACGGACAUGGCACAUGAUACGUGGCUCUUUGGGCUAUUGGUUGUUGCUUUCGUUGUUGGUUGGCUGCAUGUUGUUGCUUUGGUUGCUGCCAUGGUUGUUGCUGCCGACAGUUGGUCAUCAUCGGUCCGUAUGUGCUGUGCAUUUUUUACGAGCAUUUGCCUCGCUUUUGUGGCCGCAGAUGCGCUGAGCUACAUAAAUUUUGUGGCCCGGCGAAAGGCAAAAAUUAAAAUGCGCUUAUAAAGCAAUAAAAUGCAGCAUAAUAGUAAUAGCGGCAGCGGCGUAAUGGCCACGUAAUGAAAAUGUCUACGAUUUUGAGAGAUGUGCGAGUUGAAAGAUACAGUACAGUGCAACAUGGGAUGCAGCUGUGGACAUUGUGCAACGUACACAUAACGUAUCUCUGCUCGAUGCAGAUUGCAACAGAGAGUGCCGAAAAAAGAAACUAAAUGAAAAUGAAAAAAAAAAAAAACAAAACAAUUAUAGAAUGUAUCUCGCAGAUUGCCGACUGCAGAUUGGAUUGUGGCCGAGCACCGAGAGUUAUGGCACUGGCAUUCUAUGUUCGCCGGCCCUGUCAACGGCAAUUUGCCAUAACAUAAAACUGCACGUUUACACUAAUAGCACAGGUAUCUAAAGCGCUCAGCAGGUGAGCUCCAGCUCCACUAGCCGAGUGUCGCGAUAUCUUGGUAUCUGAGUACUCGAGUAUCUGGGUAUUCGAGUACCAUGGGGCUAUCUGCAUCGGUAUCUGAAGUUGGACUGGUCGUCGCCAUGGCCAGGCCUUCACUUUUUCGCUGCCCGGCGCUUGAUUAAAGUUCAAUGCAUAUGAAUUAAUUAAGUUUUUUACUGCCUCCUUUUUUUCUUUUUUUUGUAUAUUUAUUCCUUUCGCGCUCGCAAAGCUUAUCGGUAACGCUCGAGCCGGGCACAUCCAUCAUCCCAUCCAGUUUUUCAGUGCCAAUUCCAGUUUUCUGGCCCAAUGUGGGCAGUUCUUCCUCAGUAAAACUGGCACAGAAGAAAAAAAAAGCCAAUGGAAACUGGACAAAUGAGCGACAAAACUGGUGCAACACUUCAGCCACAACAUCCUAACCAAUAACAAUUAAAAACGAUAAACAAAAGGGGAAACCGUUAACUAAAAGAAUAUUAAUAGCUGUGUUUAAUUCGAAUUUCUUCAUCAUAAAUUCAUAUUUUACUGCAACUACAAAUUAAUAGUUAAUGAUUUUAUUUAGCGAGCAAGAAACGUGUUUCUGAAUGACCAGCAAUAAAGUUUAAAAAGAACUAUCUUUGUUACCUAAAAUAUAUGCAUAUUGCUUUCAUAUGCCUCAUAUGAGCUUCUUUAAUCCCCACUGCAUCACAAUUUCGUGGCACGUUUGCUGCCCCCUUGCCUUGGGGGCGUGGCACACUGGCCGCCGUCUGGGCGUGUAUGCAACUUGAUACAUUUUAAUUUGGUUGCUUUAAUUAAUUUUUUUUUCGCUCAGUUAUUUAGUUGAGAUUUUUUCGCCCAGAUAUGGUAUUUUGGUGGUUUAAUUAAUUCUUUGCUAAGUGAGAAAUUGCCUGGCUAGCAGUGGGUGGGAGGUUGGCCAUGCCCGUUGGCAUCAAUCAAAGUGAUUGUUGAAAUGGAUUUCAAACAUGUCAGUUCAGUCAGUGGGCAGUGCUGGCUGCAAUCUGACUGCAAUAAAGUGUACACUUUAAAAUGUCAGAAAUAAAAGAACUCAUAUGCGUGUAUCAAUAUAGUUUCUCGUGCUCAUUAAGCACGACUUAUUGGUAUAACCUCUCACCAUUUAAACAGCUCAUAAACCAAGCGGCUAAUCAAGAUCACUGAUCAUUAGGCGAGGCAAAUGUCAACACUUCAAGCCCGGCGAUAAAAGUGUCAAUCCAAGGCUCAUAUAAACCUCAAGCCCAGCAGUUCGUCAGUUAAAGUCAGUCGUAUAGUGUCGAUCCUGCAGAUGCAUCCGAAAGUUUGCCAGCCAGCCAGACAUUCGGUGCGAUUUAUGUGCGAGUUUUGUUUGCUCUGUCUUGGCUUUUCGUAUGCAAACUGUCAAUCAAAGACGGCAGCACCGGCAGCGAUGCUAAUCAGCCCAGACUUUGGCAGUUUAUGUACUGGCCGGGACAAAGUUAUGGCGCCGUUAUGGCCCACGAGGAACAGAAGCAGCUGCCACCAAUUUUGGGUGGGAGAGAGGGGGCACAAGGGGCCAUCACUGGAAAAAAAAGGUGCAGCAUAAAAAUACUUAUGGAACAAAACAAGCAUUUGAUUUUCAUUUAAAUAUGUUUAAAUGGGUUAAAUUCAUUUGGUUAAAGCUUGAAAUACUUUAAAUCCUACAAACUGUAACAUGUUCUUAUGUUGUAUUUUUAGGAUCGAACAUUUUGCAUAAUUUGGCUGCCUUCUGCAGGUGUCACUUUUUGCGACAGUGAAGCUUUCGCCAUGGCGGUCUGGUCUCGUGACAUCCCAGGGAGCACAUAUUGAAUAUCUGCUGUGUUGGCUCAGCGGGCGGCUAAACAUUUGCUCGGCUACCUUAGACCAAAAGCUGAACACAGAGCCAAAGCCAAAGCCAAAGCCAAAACCAAAUUGAUUUACGUCGCUGGCAGACAAAUGGCAGAGGGGCCAGGGAAUUAACAGUCAAAUCUGAAAUGGCAGCAACUAAAUGCAAAUCAUGGUGGUUACCGCUGCAGAGCGAACGUAUCCAGCAGAUACUUAGUGCUUGGAUACUUGGUAAGUCGACUACAGAUACAAAUACGAAUACGUUUACAACAUGACUGGGCUGGCAAUCAAAUGCAUUUAUUUUGCAUAUAAUUCAAAUGAUAAUUUGUGUGCAGUCAAGUGCUUUUGUUGUUGCCAGCUUGCAGUUGUGGUGGGCGUUAAAGAGUCGCCUUCUCGAAAUGUCAACUUGUGUAGUUCUGUCAGAUAAAUCAAUCAAGUCGAUUAGUUUUUCAGCAUUGCAGGCGGUAAUUAGCGUGUGGGGUGUGACACUCUCGAUAUAGGAACAAGUAUCUAAUGCGGGUGGAAAAAUCUCCAAGGUUAAUUCAGCCAUUGAAAUUAACUUAAUUUGAGUUUCCCAUCGGUUCGAGUGCAAAUCAAAUAAAUGCCACAGUCUGAACAUAUAUGCGGUAUUUGUAUCUGUAUCUGGGGAAUACCCAUACUUUUUUGCGGCUAAUGCAUUAGCCUAAGUAUCUACAACUUUACUUACAAUCCCUUUUUUGCAUUACUUUUUUCGACAGAGAAACGAAGACGGCGCCAGCUAAUGUGCAAACAUAAAAUUUUAAGACGCCGCCGAAAGGAAAGCCAACGGAUAAGAAGGAUGGGCAAGUCGAAGAGUCUGGCAGACUCUUUUGGGGACUUUGAUAUUUGCCGAAAGUAUUGGCAGCCAAUUUCAUUAUUGAGCCCAGCCAAUAUCCAAUAUCUGGCAAACAUAAUCCGUUUAUGACUCUAAUUGCAGCUUAGCACUGACAAGUCAAACACACCGAAAAAGUGACAGAUAAGUAGACACUUCAAGUGCAGUGUAAUCAAUUGAACUGUGACCAUCGAACGAAAAAAACCGAAGUCUUUUUACCAUCAGCGAGGUAUAGAGUUCCUACGUUCCUAUAUUCAGUCGUAGGAACUUAAUACCGUGCUCUUGGAGGACUGUCGACCAGCAUAUAGUUAAAAGACAACUUGAAAUUGAAGUAAUAAAGUGAAUUAUUUAAUAUAAAUAUAUAAAUAUAUUCAGUUUGAAGUUUACCUAGACAUAAUAUGUAUAAGAAAGAUAAACCAGAGUUAGAUCGUCUAUAGAACGUCUUUCAUAAAUUUGACUUAACCAAAAGCAACUUAAUUAGAACUAAUAUAUUUAACUACAUUUGAAAGUGAAUCUUGUGAGCAUCUUGCAGUAUCGAAUGAUCUCGAAUAUUUGCCCCUUCAAUCCACAGACAAAAUGUAUCAAAUAUUUAUUUAACCCCUAACAGUAAAAGUUAUAAAAGGGGUUGAGAUCGGAUCGCGUCGGACACUUUCCUCAAAGAUAUAAGACCGUUUCGGAUAUCCCGCGACCCGAGGAGUUCAUCAACCUUUGGAUGCAUCUUAGAGAUACGCACUCAGCAAGGACCUUCAACCCUUUUUCGUCCUAUCGCUGCCUUUCUAUCUUGAUCCUGGCAUUUGCAUGGUCGCGUUUAAUUGCGAAAAUUGUGCAAGGACGAGCAGCCGUUACGCAAUUGAUAACGGUUCAUUUGUUUUUGCGGAUUUUAUAUCUAUUUGAUUAACGGUAAAGGCUGGCUACAGGAUACAGGAUACCGCAACGGAAAACUAAGGGAUAAUGUGUGCAAAAUUAAAUGAAGCAUUACAUUAUGAAUAUACAGCGGCACAUGUUAUGUAAUAGCG
ensembl:ncRNA lncRNA:CR46004 long non-coding RNA:CR46004